rnacentral:rRNA from 1 species
ACAAGCGGUGGAGCAUGUGGUUUAAUUCGAUGAUACGCGAGGAACCUUACCUGGGCUCAAAUGUAUGUUGACGUAUUCUGAAAGGGAUACUUCUUCGGACAAUAUACAAGGUGCUGCAUGGUUGUCGUCAGCUCGUGCCGUGAGGUGUCGGGUUAAGUCCCAUAACGAGCGCAACCCCUAUCAUUAGUUGCCAUCAGGUCAAGCUGGGGACUCUAAUGAAACUGCCUACGCAAGUAGUGAGGAAGGUGGGGAUGACGUCAAAUCAGCACGGCCCUUACGUCCAGGGCUACACACGUACUACAAUGGCCGAUACAAAGGGCAGCGACACUGCGAGGUGAAGCCAAUCCCGUAAAAUCGGUCUCAGUCCGGAUUGGAGUCUGCAACUCGACUCCAUGAAGUUGGAAUCGCUAGUAAUCGCGCAUCAGCCAUGGCGCGGUGAAUACGUUCCCGGGCCUU